CCUACGGGUGGCAGCAGUGAGGAAUAUUGGUCAAUGGGCGCGAGCCUGAACCAACCAAGUCGCGUGAGGGAAGACGGUCCUAUGGAUUGUAAACCUCUUUUGUCGAGGAGCAAAAGACGCCACGCGUGGCGUUCCGUGAGUACCCGAUGAAAAAGCAUCGGCUAACUCCGUGCCAGCAGCCGCGGUAAUACGGAGGAUGCGAGCGUUAUCCGGAUUUAUUGGGUUUAAAGGGUGCGCAGGCGGAAGAUCAAGUCAGCGGUAAAAUUUGGAGGCUCAACCUUUUCUAGCCGUUGAUACUGGUAGUCUUGAGUAAAUGAGAGGUAGGCGGAAUGCGUGGUGUAGCGGUGAAAUGCAUAGAUAUCACGCAGAACUCCGAUUGCGAAGGCAGCAUACCGGCGCUCAACUGACGCUGAUGCACGAAAGUGUGGGUAUCGAACAGGAUUAGAUACCCCAGUAGUC
rnacentral:rRNA from 1 species